UGAGGAAUAUUGGUCAAUGGACGCAAGUCUGAACCAGCCAAGUAGCGUGCAGGAUGACGGCCCUAUGGGUUGUAAACUGCUUUUAUAUGGGGAUAAAGUGGGGAACGUGUUCCCUUUUGCAGGUACCAUAUGAAUAAGGACGGGCUAAUUCCGUGCCAGCAGCCGCGGUAAUACGGAAGUUUCGGGCGUUAUCCGGAUUUAUUGGGUUUAAAGGGAGCGUAGGCCGUUUGGUAAGCGUGUUGUGAAAUGUAGGAGCUCAACUUCUAGAUUGCAGCGCGAACUGUCAGACUUGAGUGCGCACAACGUAGGCGGAAUUCAUGGUGUAGCGGUGAAAUGCUUAGAUAUCAUGAAGAACUCCGAUUGCGAAGGCAGCUUACGGGAGCGCAACUGACGCUGAAGCUCGAAGGUGCGGGUAUCGAACAGG
rnacentral:rRNA from 1 species